rnacentral:rRNA from 1 species
GACGUAGGGCGCGAGCGUUGUCCGGAUUUAUUGGGCGUAAAGAGCUCGUAGGCGGCUUGUCGCGUCGACUGUGAAAACUCGGGGCUUAACUCCGGGCCUGCAGUGGGUACGGGCAGACUAGAGUGCGGUAGGGGAGACUGGAAUUCCUGGUGUAGCGGUGAAAUGCGCAGAUAUCAGGAGGAACACCGGUGGCGAAGGCGGGUCUCUGGGCAUCUCCUGACGCUGAGGCGCGAAAGCGUGGGGAGCAAACGGG